UGGUCGGGUAGGGUGGGAGUCUCGCCACCUCCUAAACCCAAGGGCGUAAAGUGGGCACCAGCAACCCGUGCUCCGAGGUAGUCUUAGACUAGGCAGUUCCAUCCUGAACUAUGAUAGUCGCCCGAUGGGGCCAGAUAUUCGUGGACUACCUCUCUGGAGAGAGAGGCAGAACCACGUUAACUGGGGGAAACGGUCAGGUCCGGAAGGAAGCAGCCGUGCCCGGGUAUCGGCGUUCAUCGGUCUCCGGCUUGAGCAGGGAUGGGUAAAGGCUGCUAGUCUUUGGCUACACGGGGUAUGGGGGCCGACCU
rnacentral:SRP_RNA from 1 species